UUCUGACAAGUGCUCAGGAAAUUAUGAAGUUUGUUCUCUGCCUCACUUCACCUCUGAGUAUUUACAAAUGUCAUGGGCAGUGUUUGUUUGUGGAAGCCAGCCGGUUGUGGUGGUGUGUUUUUGGUUUUUUUCCUCUACCUCCUGUUCUUUUUUACGGCCCAUUAUCAAAACCACAGCAGAGAUCAAAUUUAGCAUGAUCUCAUCAAAACUCUGCAAGAGCUCAGAAAGCUCUUCCCAAGUAAAGGAGGGUUUGCAUUUAUCCUUGUCCCCAAAGGCUGACUGCAGGACUCAAGAGAUGCUGAUAGCUCAAAAUGGAACUUUUUCGUUGCACCUUCCCAGCUGCAGUCAAGUUCCUUCUCAAGUAGAGGCUGCAAUCUUUGAUCAAAACCAGAGUGAAUAAAUGCUACUAUAACAGCAGGGGGUGAAAGAAAAACUGCUGCUAAGAGACUGAGGCUAACUUGUGAGACCAUUUGGCAUAUUCCUCUAGUAUAUCUGGCAGCCUUCCUCCAGAAGACUGAUCUCUUUCUCACCCUCAUAAUCUCUACUGUUGGAUUAAACAUUUGUCUUAUCCGUAAGGUAACUUUCCUGCUGACAGAGGCUAAAGAAAACUGUAGCCAGGACUGCCUGCGAGGAUGGGUGACAAGAAUGAGUAAAGUUAUCAAACUGCUUUUGCAUAAGAAAUGCUCAAACAUACUCAAUGUCUCUUUCCUGGAAAAGAAAUUACAGAGGAGGAUGUGACAGAAGGCAUGAAUGGCCCACUGAAAGAGGGGAUUAAUUUCACCUUCUGUUCAGCAAAUCUUCACUGAACCUCAUCAAGGACCUUAUGACCAGAGCAAUCUGACUGAAGACCCAAGCACGAGACAAUUUAUUCAGCCAUCCCUCAGGCAGAAGGAUCCACUGGAAACAGUCUGUCAGGUUGUGUCAAAACAGCCAACAACAGCUUCCUGCGCUUUGAGUGACUCAACCCUUCCCUGUCCCAGUCUGUCACCUAGCGAAAGCCAACGAAAAGAAAGGUUUCCCUGAACCUGCCCCAGCAGUGCUGCUUUAGAGUACUUACCUUUUCCUUUCAGCAUUUGUCAGCAGAAACUUCUACAUUUUUCUAUGGUUUCUUUGUUUUUCUGUAGCAAUGUCUGUGUGACAACCAAUGCCACUACUCUUUACCAGACCUCACAAGCAUCUUCAUUCCUAUAUUGCAAAGCUCCAUGUGACAGGGACACGGUGUCCAGGAUGUCAGCUGUAUGAAAGAAGAGACUCAUAAAUACACUUAAUAGUUUUUUUCAAACCUCUGUUUUGGCAGAAGAAUGAACCUGAGGGAAAGAUGCCCUGGCUGGGUCCUCUGAGAGCAUGGUCUUCCUAGGUGACUCACUGCUCACUUGCACCACUGCUCUUUGACUUCUGCCUCACCGUAUGACCUUCGCCUGACCAAGACCCACCUAACAGAGGACAGCUUGAGCUGACAAGUUGCUUCUGGAACAUGUGGUCAUUGAGGAGUAUCAGCUUUGGCCUCUGCUUGUGAGGAAACAAGAUGAAGUUGCAACUGGUUGGCUCAUUCUUGUGUUCAGUGCAUGUAGUUAGGGUAUGGAGAUUGCAAAUCCUGACCAGUGGGGUGGCUAACAAGGUGACACCUUGAGGAAAUUGCAGGAUGUUAAAGAUACCAGAUGAGCAGUCAUAAAUAUGCAGAUGACUCACCCUGACACUACAAAGAGAGAAAAAGGGGAGGAGAGGAAUAUCAGUUUAACAGAAUUGACAAAGAAGAGGGAAUUUAAUAGCAGAACAAUAUCAUAAAUACUAAAUAAAGGUAUAAAAGUAAUAAAGCCAGAGGUGAUGGGGAAGAUGCAAACAGAGGAGUGCUGUUCAUGUGGGAAGGCUUGGAGAUUAUAAAGGGGAAAUCUUCAGAGGAGAAAUGGGGAGAGAAGGGAAUAUAGCGUGAAGCAAAUAAUGGGAACAGGGCUGUUCAGCAGUCCCUGUGCAGCAGGAACUCUGUGCCUGAUGAGUGCAGCUUGGAGCAGAGCAAUAAACUCACUGUUUCCACUGUGUAACUGCCUGACUUCUGUGGUUAGGAGAGAUCUAGACUGUUUUAACCUUCCACCAGCAAAGGAAAACUGAGAGCUGUCUUUUGCCCUGGAUAGAGGAACACUUGGUGCAUUUUCCACCUACCAACAUCACCUCUUACUCUCCUUGAACAGCAUGAAGACUUAGGAUGGCUGCUUUGUCACCCAAAGGGUGAGAGAGCAAACUUCAGCCUGUUUAUAUAUGUUCAAAGAAAGCUGGAGGCCUGAGAACUUCUUGGAGAGAAACAUCCUGGAAUCACCCCUGGGGUCAUUUGCAGAGAGCAGUUACAGUGAUGGAGGACAUCAGAGUAGACAUGUUACCCUCUGGUCCCAAUGGGCUGCACAUAUCACUUUGUGUCCACUCUUUGCCAACUGCAAAACUGCUACAGGUCCUCUUUGAGAAGUCUGCCUCUCUAUAUUAAGAUGUGGCAGUUUUUAGAGCUAGAACCAGGUAAAAAAGCCACUGUUACCAAAUGCCACAGCCUCGGCAAGCAUUUUCUUCAGCGUAGGUGAAGCCUUAGAGUCUGGAGGUGAAAGAGAAGCUAAAGAAAAGUGUCCUUUCUCAUCUACUUUUGCUGAAGAUAGGACUUCAAAAGCUUACGUAAUAGUUAAUAUUAUUAAGUCAUUUUUCCAUAGAGUCCUGUUCAGAAAUCUUCUGCAGCAUACAGGUUCAAUGUAUUUUCUCUAGAAUUUGUGAAUAGACUGUGUUAUUUUGGAAACAGAUGGUCUGAGUAAGUCCUUGCUGCCCUUCCUCAAUGCUGCAACCAGUCCUCAUAGCUCUGGAGCCAGAGGUCUCCAUUGUUCUUCCCUUUCACAAAUUCAGGUGUCCAAGUAGUCUGUCUGAAACAGUCUUUGUGCCUACCAGCUCCAGCCACGGGCCAGAAUUUAAAUGUGCGAGGGGUGAUAAAGCAUAGCUCCUGCCCAAGGACCUCAUAAUGACAAAGACCUUACUGGUACGUUCUAAUUGGAGAUUUACAGAAAGAGAGCUCAACAGGUUAUGGACUCAGUACAGUCCUCACCUAUUUACAGUCAAGAAGAUAAAUCAUUUAAAACUUGAUAAGAAUUAUAUAUUAAUUUGAGAAAUCAGAGUCGGAAUUUAUCACAUAUUCUUCUAAUUUCAUUAGUGGUAGGAAAAAAAUCCCAGAUCCAAAGAUAUCUAUUGACUUUAUGACGUAUUGUUACUUCAUCCAAAUUUUGCAACUUUUAUCUGUCUCCAUGGAUUGCAUCUAUAAUCCCUGUGUGCAUCAGUGUUUGUACUACAGAAACAUCAAGGUCGCAGUAUGCCAGACAUGUCAUCCUGGAUGCAUUCCACAUUCGAUCUAGAUACGUGUGUUUGGAGUGCAAUCACCACAGACUCCAUCCGUUGGAGAAUAACAGGUAGCUCCUGCAGGUGGUUCAGCCCAUUACAGAUCUGACUGACUCCCUACAUGCCUUUCUCCAAUAACUGGAAAGAGUCUUUGACUGCGUAAGGUCCUAAUUUAGGCAUCUCAUUUCACUGCCCAAAGCCAAAUGGAUGACUCUGGGCUUUUAUGUAUGAGCAGUAAGAGAAAGCCCUGCCAUGGAGAAGACUCUGUUCUUAACAGGCAAGGCAAGAAAGAGGCUGGGUUUAAUAAAAGAUCUAGUGCUUGCAGAACCAGACUCAGUGUCCACUCAUGUCAGCUCCUUUUGGCUUUAAGCUGUUUGUAUCAUUGGUAUGUUUUCAUCACAUCAGAAGAAGUGAAGGGAGGCCCAGAGAGAUUAAACCACUUGCCUACAUUCAUGUGGGGAGUCUGUGGACAAACUGAAGAAUGAGAACAGAUCUCCAGGGGCCUUGACUAAUGGCUUAACCACGAGAUCCUCAUUCCUUCCAUGCUGUGACUGCUCGCCUUCCAGCUGUCUUGCACACUCAGGGUUGAGGAGGGUUGAAUACAUUUGGAUAGCAUACGGCACAAGCUGAAUCCCUGCCAAGAUUUUAGCCUAAACUUGUACUGUCCUCUUUUGAAGUUUUAAAUGAAGUGGAACAAAAAUUUCUCUGCUUUUAAAAGUCAGUUUGGUUUUAACCUUCUCUAUGAUACUUGCCUUCCUGGUUCUGAUCAGAUGGUGGUGUGGAAAUUAUUACAAUCGUCAACACUAUUUUUGUAGGAUAUCCAGUCAGACUAGAACAAAACUUCGUAUCUUUCUCUUCAUCCUUCUCCUUCUCUCUCUCUGUCUCUUUUUUCUUUCUACCUACCUACGUACCUACCCUCUUUGAUAAAUAUGUCCAUCACUUUUAUCACUGAGCAUGUUCAUCUUCCAAAUACUAGUCUCUUCCAGCUAUAUCAAAGAGAAUACAUGUGAAAUGAUCAAAUGUUUUUUGAAGGACACAUUUAAUGGGUUUUGCAAAAAUAUGGAGCUCAAAAAUAUGUAGCUUUUUUCUAGGGUAUCCAGGUAUUCUACCUAUAUAGGAAUAUUUACUUCAAGAUCAAAAAUAUUGAGGGUCGUGAGGCACUGGCACAGGUUGCCCAGAGAGGUUGUGACUGCCCCUGGCUCCCUGGCAGUGUUCAAGGCCAGGUUGGAUGGGGCUUUGGGCAACCUGGGCCAGUGGAGAGUGUCCCUGCCCAUGGCAGGGGGUUGGAACUAGAUGGGCUUUAAAAGUCCCCUCCAAACCAGGCCAUUCCAUUCUUAGAUUCUAAGAUAUGGACCAAUUGAUACCAAGCUGUUUGUGGUGGGUUGAUCCUGGCUGGAGGCCAGGUGCCCACCAAAGCCGUUCUAUCACUCCCCCUUGUCAACUGGACAGGGGAGAGAAAAUAUAACAAAAGGCUCAUGGGCAGAGAUAAGGGCAGGGAGAGAUUGUUCACCAAUUACCGCCAUGGGCAAAACAGACUGAACUUAGAAAAAAUCCAAUUUAUUAUCAAGCAAAACAGAGUAGAGCAAUAAGAAAUAAAACCAAAUCUUAAAACACCUCUCCCCACCCCUCCCUUCUUCCCGGGCUUAACUUGUCUCCUGACUUUCUACCUCCUCCCCCACAGCGGCACAGGGGGAUGGGGAAUGGGGGUUGUGGUCAGUUCAUCACAUCUUUCUCUGCCAUUCCUUCCUCCUCAGAAGGAAGACUCCUUACACGCCUCCCCUGCUCCAGCAUGGGGAGACAGUCCUCCACUAAUGUCUCCAAUGUGAGUCCUUCCCAUGGGCUACAGUUCUUCACCAACUGCUCCAGCGUGGGUCUCUCCCAUGGGGUGCAGACCUUCAGGAGCAGACUGCUCCAGCGUGGGUCCCCCACGGGGUCACAAGUCCUGCCAGCAAACCUGCUCCGGCAUGGGCUCCUCUCUCCACGGAUCCACAGGUCCUGCCAGGAGCUUGCUCCAGCGUGGGCUUCCCACGGGCCACAGCCUCCUUCAGGUGUCUCCACCUGCUCCGGCGUGGGGUCCUCCAUGGGCUGCAGUUGGAUAUCUGCUCUCCAUCAUCCUUCCUCCAUGGGCUGCAGGGGGACAGCCUGCCUCACCAUGGUCUUCACCACGGGCUGCAGGGGGAUCUCUGCUCUGGUGCCUGGAGCUCCUCCUGCCCCUCCAUCUGCACUGACCUUGGUGUCUGCAGAGUUUCUUACAUCUUCUCACUCUGGGUGCAAAAGCUGCUGCUAGGUUUGGGGUUUUUUUUCUUCUUAAAUAUGUUAUCACAGAGCACUAC